GACGAACGCUGGCGGCGUGCUUAACACAUGCAAGUCGAGCGGUAAGGCCCUUUCGGGGGUACACGAGCGGCGAACGGGUGAGUAACACGUGGGUGACCUGCCCUUAGCUCUGGGAUAAGCCUGGGGAACUGGGUCUAAUACCGGAUAUGACUCCAUAACGCAUGUUGUGGGGUGGAAAGCCUUGUGCGGCUAGGGAUGGGCCCGCGGCCUAUCAGCUUGUUGGUGGGGUGAUGGCCACCAAGGCGACGACGGGUAGCCGGCCUGAGAGGGCGACCGGCCACACUGGGACUGAGACACGGCCCAGGACUCCUACGGGAGGCAGCAGUGGGAAUCUUGCGCAAUGGGCGAAAGCCUGACGCAGCGACGCCGCGUGGGGAUGACGGCCUCGG
rnacentral:rRNA from 1 species